AACGAACGCUGGCGGCAUGCCUAACACAUGCAAGUCGAACGAGACCUUCGGGUCUAGUGGCGCACGGGUGCGUAACGCGUGGGAACCUGCCCUUAGGUUCGGAAUAACUCCCCGAAAGGGGUGCUAAUACCGGAUAAUGUCUUCGGACCAAAGAUUUAUCGCCUUUGGAUGGGCCCGCGUUGGAUUAGCUAGUUGGUAGGGUAAAAGCCUACCAAGGCGACGAUCCAUAGCUGGUCUGAGAGGAUGAUCAGCCACGCUGGGACUGAGACACGGCCCAGACUCCUACGGGAGGCAGCAGUGGGGAAUAUUGGACAAUGGGCGAAAGCCUGAUCCAGCAAUGCCGCGUGAGUGAUGAAGGCCUUAGGGUUGUAAAGCUCUUCUACCCGGGAUGAUAAUGACAGUACCGGGAGAAUAAGCUCCGGCUAACUCCGUG
rnacentral:rRNA from 1 species